UACAUAUUCACCCCUCCAAGACUACAAAAAACUGCACUCGGACAAAACGUCCCAUUCAAAUUCACUAUUACAUUACAACAGGACAGAGAUUUUCCCACUAGUUCUACCAAUCAAUAACUGACUAUUGAAACUCUAUCAUGACAGACUAAUAAAAUAAUAGGAAGAUAGUGAACCAUUUGAAUAAAAAAUUCCACAUUACACAUUCGAAUGACUUGCAAAUGAGGUAGCAUUGUAAAUCAUCGGAAAUAUAAACAAGAGAUGAGGUAACGGAUGAUUCACAGGGUUAACAAUCUCAUUUUUUAAGAACCAACUAGGAUGUAUGCCGCACGCCUGUCAACCCAAGUGAACAUCAUAUUUGCAAAACCUAAUUUUGAAAAACAAAUUUACCCGUUCAAAAACGCUAUUAAGUUAUCCAAGUUGUUGUUGUUACCAAAUGUAGAAACAUUUUUCUUGCAAAAGAGUUGAUUAUUAUACCCAGCUAGAAUGUCGCCCCUGUAAUCUUGCACUGUACUAAUCAUUAAAGAGCAUUUAUUUUUAAUAAGUAACUCAUUAGCCCAUAUCGCUAGCUUGGAAUUAAUAGCUAUAUCUCAUUUUUGACAAUUAGAUCAAUACUGUCAUCGUAGUCUAAGAUGAGCAUUACAAAAUUUUAAGGACUGCUAUGUGAAAGACUUACUCAUGGAACGGCAAUAUGCUAUAUGCUAAGUUAAACGUAAAUGUUAGUGGAGGGAAUUCGUUCUUGUACCUUU
rnacentral:lncRNA from 1 species